ACUAUAAUUGCUAAGUCAUAUGGUAACUAUGCUUAGCUUUUCAAGGAACUGCCAAACUGUUUUCCAAAGCAGCUGUACCAUUUACAUUCCCACUAACAAU
rnacentral:pre_miRNA from 1 species